rnacentral:rRNA from 1 species
UACGUAGGUCCCGAGCGUUGUCCGGAUUUAUUGGGCGUAAAGCGAGCGCAUGUGGUUUAUUAAGUCUGGUGUAAAAGGCAGUGGCUCAACCAUUGUAUGCAUUGGAAACUGGUAGACUUGAGUGCAGGAGAGGAGAGUGGAAUUCCAUGUGUAGCGGUGAAAUGCGUAGAUAUAUGGAGGAACACCGGUGGCGAAAGCGGCUCUCUGGCCUGUAACUGACACUGAAGCUCGAAAGCGUGGGGAGCAAACAGG